GGAGAGAUAUCGAAGCGGUCAUAACGAGGCGGUCUUGAAAACCGUUUGUCCGCAAGGGCGCGAGGGUUCGAAUCCCUCUCUCUCCG
rfam:Coprococcus eutactus CAG:665 genomic scaffold, scf20